UGGGCGUUAAGUUGCAGGGUAUAGACCCGAAACCCGGUGAUCUAGCCAUGGGCAGGUUGAAGGUUGGGUAACACUAACUGGAGGACCGAACCGACUAAUGUUGAAAAAUUAGCGGAUGACCUGUGGCUGGGGGUGAAAGGCCAAUCAAACCGGGAGAUAGCUGGUUCUCCCCGAAAGCUAUUUAGGUAGCGCCUCGUGAAUUCAUCUCCGGGGGUAGAGCACUGUUUCGGCUAGGGGGCCAUCCCGGCUUACCAACCCGAUGCAAACUGCGAAUACCGGAGAAUGUUAUCACGGGAGACACACGGCGGGUGCUAACGUCCGUCGUGAAGAGGGAAACAACCCAGACCGCCAGCUAAGGUCCCAAAGUCAUGGUUAAGUGGGAAACGAUGUGGGAAGGCCCAGACAGCCAGGAUGUUGGCUUAGAAGCAGCCAUCAUUUAAAGAAAGCGUAAUAGCUCACUGGUCGAGUCGGCCUGCGCGGAAGAUGUAACGGGGCUAAACCAUGCACCGAAGCUGCGGCAGCGACGCUGAUGCGUUGUUGGGUAGGGGAGCGUUCUGUAAGCCUGUGAAGGUGGCCUGUGAGGGUUGCUGGAGGUAUCAGAAGUGCGAAUGCUGACAUAAGUAACGAUAAAGCGGGUGAAAAGCCCGCUCGCCGGAAGACCAAGGGUUCCUGUCCAACGUUAAUCGGGGCAGGGUGAGUCGACCCCUAAGGCGAGGCCGAAAGGCGUAGUCGAUGGGAAACGGGUUAAUAUUCCCGUACUUGGUGUUACUGCGAAGGGGGGACGGAGAAGGCUAUGUUGGCCGGGCGACGGUUGUCCCGGUUUAAGCGUGUAGGUGUGUGUUCCAGGUAAAUCCGGUUCACUUUAACACUGAGGCGUGAUGACGAGGCACUACGGUGCUGAAGCAACAAAUGCCCUGCUUCCAGGAAAAGCCUCUAAGCAUCAGGUAACAUCAAAUCGUACCCCAAACCGACACAGGUGGUCAGGUAGAGAAUACCAAGGCGCUUGAGAGAACUCGGGUGAAGGAACUAGGCAAAAUGGUGCCGUAACUUCGGGAGAAGGCACGCUGACACGUAGGUGAAGUGAUUUACUCAUGGAGCUGAAGUCAGUCGAAGAUACCAGCUGGCUGCAACUGUUUAUUAAAAACACAGCACUGUGCAAACACGAAAGUGGACGUAUACGGUGUGACGCCUGCCCGGUGCCGGAAGGUUAAUUGAUGGGGUCAGCGCAAGCGAAGCUCCUGAUCGAAGCCCCGGUAAACGGCGGCCGUAACUAUAACGGUCCUAAGGUAGCGAAAUUCCUUGUCGGGUAAGUUCCGACCUGCACGAAUGGCGUAAUGAUGGCCAGGCUGUCUCCACCCGAGACUCAGUGAAAUUGAACUCGCUGUGAAGAUGCAGUGUACCCGCGGCAAGACGGAAAGACCCCGUGAACCUUUACUAUAGCUUGACACUGAACAUUGAGCCUUGAUGUGUAGGAUAGGUGGGAGGCUUUGAAGUGUGGACGCCAGUCUGCAUGGAGCCGGCCUUGAAAUACCACCCUUUAAUGUUUGAUGUUCUAACGUGGACCCGUGAUCCGGGUUGCGGACAGUGUCUGGUGGGUAGUUUGACUGGGGCGGUCUCCUCCUAAAGAGUAACGGAGGAGCACGAAGGUUGGCUAAUCCUGGUCGGACAUCAGGAGGUUAGUGCAAUGGCAUAAGCCAGCUUGACUGCGAGCGUGACGGCGCGAGCAGGUGCGAAAGCAGGUCAUAGUGAUCCGGUGGUUCUGAAUGGAAGGGCCAUCGCUCAACGGAUAAAAGGUACUCCGGGGAUAACAGGCUGAUACCGCCCAAGAGUUCAUAUCGACGGCGGUGUUUGGCACCUCGAUGUCGGCUCAUCACAUCCUGGGGCUGAAGUAGGUCCCAAGGGUAUGGCUGUUCGCCAUUUAAAGUGGUACGCGAGCUGGGUUUAGAACGUCGUGAGACAGUUCGGUCCCUAUCUGCCGUGGGCGCUGGAGAACUGAGGGGGGCUGCUCCUAGUACGAGAGGACCGGAGUGGACGCAUCACUGGUGUUCGGGUUGUCAUGCCAAUGGCACUGCCCGGUAGCUAAAUGCGGAAGAGAUAAGUGCUGAAAGCAUCUAAGCACGAAACUUGCCCCGAGAUGAGUUCUCCCUGAGACUUAGAGUCUCCUGAAGGAACGUUGAAGACGACGACGUUGAUAGGCCGGGUGUGUAAGCGCAGCGAUGCGUUGAGCUAACCGGUACUAAUGAACCGUGAGGCUUAACCUUACAACGCCGAAG
rnacentral:rRNA from 1 species